rnacentral:rRNA from 1 species
CGGACGGGUGAGUAACGCGUGGGUAACCUGCCUUGUACUGGGGGACAACAGUUAGAAAUGACUGCUAAUACCGCAUAAGCGCACAGUAUCGCAUGAUACAGUGUGAAAAACUCCGGUGGUACAAGAUGGACCCGCGUCUGAUUAGCUAGUUGGUAAGGUAACGGCUUACCAAGGCGACGAUCAGUAGCCGACCUGAGAGGGUGACCGACCACAUUGGGACUGAGACACGGCCCAA